GGGAAGAAAAAGAAGAGGAAGAGAGAAAAGUUGCAGGAAUCAGCAUCAGGUACAGGCCCCAGAAUGACAGCUGCCUACAUCUGAAGCAUGGUGGGAAAAGAAAUGCUUUCUCAACUUGCAAAGCAAAGGCGGCGACACCAGGACCCCUUCUGGAGAUGGAAGCUUGUUAAACCCUAGGUGUGUCCUUCAUCCACACAGACCAUCCCCAAGGAGUCUGUCUAGGAUGUCAUUCACCCUGAUGUCACUGCUAGAGACACUGAAUCAUAAAGACAAUCACUGCCAAAAUUCUUCACUAUCACAAGGUCCAGCCCCGAUAUAAAUAGAGCAAAUGAGUUCCUGGGUCAGCAGAGCAGCUUUUGUCUUCACUCCACCUCUGCCUUGCACUCUUAAGCCCCUGUCUCAUCUGUGUCCAUAUCGAGUCAGCGAAGUAGCGUGGCUGUCUCUGCCUGCUUCAGCCAACAGAGUAACGUAGACCACAGCUGCCCCAUACAGCACAUCGAGGAAUGGAAUUUGCCUGGACUAGGAUGACACACUCAACCUUCUUUUUAUUUAAUGGUGCGACAGGAUCAAUUUUGAUUUUAGCUUUUUUAAGAAACUUGAAUGCUUUUAUAUUUUAACUUUUAGUUUGUAAUUUCUUUGGUGUAUAUUUUACUAGGUAUGAGCUUUUAAACAAGUGUCAGAAAUCCAAAAUACUUUUUAAAUAAAUGGGUUUGGUUUGUUUUUUUUUUUCUUCCAGAGGAAAAUCCUGUAUGGAAAAAAAAGGUGGCUUUUUUGUUAAACUAUUUGUAACAAAUAGUGGCCUCUCAGUCUAUAUAAUGCAGUGUCCCAUAGAACUAAAUAAAUGUAACAACAGUCAGCUGGUCAGUAGACACGUCAGUCUCGCAUCAUGUACUCUGUAAACAUAAGCAAUACAUCCAGCAAAUCUGACUGCAGUGAGUUCUUCUCACCCAUUCCCCUUCUCCUUGUAAAAAGCCCAGCACUUGAAUUAUUACUUCGAUUGUUCUGUAUUUGUAUCCGUUUUUGUUAGCCUGUUAGUGGGAUUUUAUGCCAGUUGUUGAAAUGAGCAUUGAUGUACUCAUUUUUUAAAAUAGUAAGGCACAGCCUUUGCCAAAAAUACUGUCAACCGUUUUGUUUGGUUUUUUUUUUUUGUCAUUCCAGUUUGAGUUUAUGUGCUGAGCAUUUGUUUUUUAAUAAAAGCUUUGUAAUAAAA